rnacentral:rRNA from 1 species
GAUGAACGCUAGCGGCAGGCUUAAUACAUGCAAGUCGAACGGUAACAGGUCUUCGGACGCUGACGAGUGGCGCACGGGUGAGGAACACGUACACAAUCUACCUUAUACUGGAGAAUAGCCCCGGGAAACUGGGAUUAAUACUCCAUAGUCUUUAAUGAUCACAUGAGAAAUAAAGUAAAGCUUCGGCGGUAUGAGAUGAGUGUGCGUCCCAUUAGAUUGUUGGUGAGGUAACGGCUCACCAAGUCGACGAUGGGUAGCUGGCGUGAGAGCGCGACCAGCCACACUGGCACUGAGACACGGGCCAGACUCCUACGGGAGGCAGCAGUAGGGAAUAUUGGUCAAUGGACGAAAGUCUGAACCAGCCAUGCCGCGUGGAGGAUGACUGCCCUCUGGGUUGUAAACUCCUUUUAUAUGGGAAGAAACCUCUGGAUUCACUCCAGAGCUGACGGUAUCAUAUGAAUAAGCACCGGCUAACU